rnacentral:rRNA from 1 species
UGCGUAGGCGGUGAUAUAAGUUGGAUGUGAAAGACUCGAGCUUAACUUGGGGGUUGCAUUCAAGACUGUAUUACUAGAGUACUGUAGAGGAAGGCGGAAUUUCCGGUGUAGCGGUGAAAUGCGUAGAUAUCGGAAGGAACACCAGUGGCGAAAGCGGCCUUCUGGACAGUCACUGACGCUGAGGCACGAAAGCGUGGGGAGCAAACAGGAUUAGAUACCCUGGUAGUCCACGCCGUAAACGAUGAAGACUGGCUGUUGGGUGCCUUGAGCACUUAGUAGCGAAGCAAACGCGUUAAGUCUUCCGCCUGGGGAGUACGGCCGCAAGGCUAAA